rnacentral:rRNA from 1 species
UACGUAGGGGGCUAGCGUUGUCCGGAUUUAUUGGGCGUAAAGAGCGUGUAGGCGGUCAGGUAGGUCUGCUGUGAAAACUCGAGGCUUAACCUCGAGAUGUCGGCGGAAACCAUCUGGCUAGAGUCCGGAAGAGGAGAGUGGAAUUCCUGGUGUAGCGGUGAAAUGCGCAGAUAUCAGGAAGAACACCCGUGGCGAAGGCGGCUCUCUGGGACGGUACUGACGCUGAGACGCGAAAGCGUGGGGAGCGAACAGG